rnacentral:rRNA from 1 species
GACGAACGCUGGCGGCGCGCUUAACACAUGCAAGUCGAGCGAGAACCAGCCCUUCGGGGCUGGGGAGAGCGGCGAACGGGUGAGUAACACGUGGGUAAUCAACCCUCGGUACUGGGAUAGCCCGGGGAAACCCGGAUUAAUACCGGAUGGCCCGUCGAAUCCUCGGAUUUGACGGAAAAGGUAGCUUCGGCCUCCGACCGAGGCCGCACCCGCGGCGGAUUAGCUUGUUGGUGGGGUAACGGCCUACCAAGGCGACGAUCCGUAGCUGGUCUGAGAGGACGAUCAGCCACACUGGGACUGAGACACGGCCCAGACUUCUACGGAAGGCAGCAGUGGGGAAUCUUGCGCUAAUGCGGGAAACCGUGACGCAGCGACGCCGCGUGGGGGAAGAAGGCCUUCGGGUUGUAAACCUCUUUCAGGAGGGACGAAGCUACUCGGGUUAAUAGCCCAGAGGGUGACGGUACCUCCAGAAGAAGCCCCGGCUAACUACGUGCCAGCCGCCGCGGUAA